rnacentral:rRNA from 1 species
UACGGAGGGUGCAAGCGUUAUCCGGAUUCACUGGGUUUAAAGGGUGCGUAGGAGGGCAGGUAAGUCAGUGGUGAAAUCCCCGAGCUUAACUUGGGAACUGCCGUUGAUACUAUCUGUCUUGAAUACCGUGGAGGUGAGCGGAAUAUGUCAUGUAGCGGUGAAAUGCUUAGAUAUGACAUAGAACACCUAUUGCGAAGGCAGCUUACUACGCAUAUAUUGACGCUGAGGCACGAAAGCGUGGGGAUCAAACAGG